rnacentral:rRNA from 1 species
AACGUAGGUGGCGAGCGUUAUCCGGAUUUACUGGGCGUAAAGCGUGUGCAGGCGGGGAGACAAGUGGUAUAUGAAAUUUCCCGGCUUAACCGGGAAGGGUUAUGCCAGACUGUCUUUCUGGAGUGCGAGAGAGGGGCGUGGAAUUCCGGGUGUAGUGGUGAAAUGCGUAGAGAUCCGGAGGAACCCCAGAGGCGAAGGCGGCGCCCUGGCUCGCAACUGACGCUCAGACACGACAGCAUGGGGAGCGAACGGG